UGGUAAGUAUAACAAGGCAGAAGAAAUAAAUUGAGAAAAGAAAAUUAGAGUGCACAGACAGAGGGAUACAAGAUUUCAGCGAGGGCGGAGAGUUUGGAUGUUGGUGCUCAGAUGAAUUUUUAUUUUACAGAUUUCAGGUACCGAGGAUGAACUUGGAUUCAUAGUAGCGGGCUUAAGUGGAAGUAGAAGAGUUGGUGCUGAGGAUUAAAUUAUUUAUUUUAGAGAUGUUGUAUUAAUUAUUUGAGGAAAUUGAUUCUGUAUCAAUAAAAUGAUAUUUUAUUUAUUUGGAGAUCCUGGGAGUGUAAAUUGAAGUAUUUUGAUUUGAAUAAAUCGAGGAUUUUAUUUAGAAAAA